rnacentral:lncRNA from 1 species
CGAUCUUGCUCUGCGAAUAUAAGAUUUAAGAAAAUUAUUGCCGAAUUGUUGAAUUUAAUCAAAUCAAGAAGUAUAUAACGGUUAACUAUUAUUGUCAAAAGUAAGGCAUGAUACAUUAAAUCGGUGUAGUACCAACCUCAGCAAAACUGGAAGUACUCAAGCCUUCCCUCAUCACAUCGGAUGACUUGUCUGCUCCAAAUGAAUUAGAAGCUUGAAAUGCAUCAUUAACAUAGAAUAUCUUACUCUUAGCUACGACAUUCUCCUCUUUGACCUCAAUAUCAAAGGUGUACUCCUUCCCGAUCAUUUCUUUAAUCUUUGCCGGGUAUCCAGAAGCUGAAGCGGUCUACGGAUUCAACAAAGUUAGGCUAUUCAAUGUAUAAAUCACUAUUGAAAUAUGAGAUCAUGCAUCACCUGAUAUUCAGAUUUAAGAGUGCAAUGGACGGACCUGCAGAUUAUCAGAAAUGAGCUUGGUUGCUGUUUGGCCAACAAUUCUUCUAGCAGCCCUGUCUAGAAGAACGAAAUUCAAUGCUUCUGUUUCAUCCCCAGCAAGAACCACAAUUUUGU